rnacentral:rRNA from 1 species
CACAGAGUUAGCCGGUGCUUAUUCUGCGAGUAACGUCCACUAUCUCUAGGUAUUAACUAAAGUAGCCUCCUCCUCGCUUAAAGUGCUUUACAACCAUAAGGCCUUCUUCACACACGCGGCAUGGCUGGAUCAGGCUUGCGCCCAUUGUGCAAUAUUCCCCA